GAUCCUGGCUCAGGAUGAACGCUAGCUACAGGCUUAACACAUGCAAGUCGCGGGGGCAGCAUGAAGGAUGCUUGCAUUCUUUGAUGGCGACCGGCGCACGGGUGAGUAACGCGUAUCCAACCUGCCUGUUACCACGGCACAGCCCGUCGAAAGGCGGAUUAAUGCCGUAUGUGGUCCUUUGCGGGCAUCUAAUUAGGACUAAAGGUUUAGCGGUUAACAGAUGGGGAUGCGUCCGAUUAG
rnacentral:rRNA from 1 species